AUUGAACGCUGGCGGCAUGCUUUACACAUGCAAGUCGAACGGCAGCGGGGAGGAGCUUGCUUCUCUGCCGGCGAGUGGCGAACGGGUGAGUAAUACAUCGGAACGUGUCGAGAAGAGGGGGAUAACCACCCGAAAGGGUGGCUAAUACCGCAUAAAUUCUGAGGAAGAAAGCUGGGGACCUAGGAAUAGGCCUAGCGCUUUUUGAGCGGCCGAUGUCGGAUUAGCUAGUUGGUGAGGUAAAGGCUCAUCAAGGCGAGGAUCUGUAGCGGGUCUGAGAGGAUGAUCCGCCACACUGGGACUGAGACACGGCCCAGACUCCUACGGGAGGCAGCAGUGGGGAAUUUUGGACGAUGGGGGCAACCCUGAUCCAGCCAUGCCGCGUGUAUGAAGAAGGCCUUAGGGUUGUAAAGUACUUUUGUUAGGGAAGAAAAGUCAGCUGUGAAUAAUGGCUGAUACUGACGGUACCUAAAGAAUAAGCACCGGCUAACUACGUG
rnacentral:rRNA from 1 species